CAGCAGCCGCGGUAAUACAGAGGGUGCGAGCGUUAAUCGGAAUUACUGGGCGUAAAGGGCGCGUAGGCGGUUAGGAAGGUGUGAUGUGAAAGCCCUGGGCUUAACCUAGGAAGUGCAUCGCAAACCAACUAGCUGGAGUAUAAGAGAGGGUGGCGGAAUUUCCGGUGUAGCGGUGAAAUGCGUAGAGAUCGGAAGGAACGUCAAUGGCGAAGGCAGCCACCUGGCUUAAUACUGACGCUGAGGCGCGAAAGCGUGGGGAGCGAACAGGAUUAGAUACCCGCGUAGUCCCUGUCUCUUAUAC
rnacentral:rRNA from 1 species